CCCUACUCUCUGUGCCUUUUAUUCUGUAACAGCUACAAGCAAAUAUCUGUAGGCCUAACACAUGUUAAAAAAGUCAAAACAUGUUUGUUUUUUUAUUUUGAGGAGCUUUUAAAUUACAGCUGUGCAGAAAAUGUGCUGUCUGUCACGGACCCGGCUCUGGAGGACUCGGGGGUCCGUGAGCAGUUAUGGACUGUUGUUAUUAUUAUUAUUAUUAAGGGGCUGUGUCGUCUACUGUUCGGUCCACAGUUGAAUGUGUAGUGUGUGUUUGCGUGUGGGUUUGCUUCUCCCUCUCUCUCCCCAGUCCUCGGGCUGUUUACAGAAGUGCACGCCGUGGGAGAGGCGUGUCCUGGCGACUGUCGUCAUUGGGAGUCCCUCUUCACUGUUACCGGCCCACCUGCAGCUGAUUACCUGACCAGCUGUUGGUAAUCAUCCAUCCCGGCUGGAGAGAGGUAUUUAACCUGGACUCGCGGCGACAGUCGACGUGGGAUUAUUACUCCGAACUGGUAUAGUCCGUGCGAGCAGCGUGAGCGUGUUAAUCGGCUAGCGUGUGGCUAAUUGUGGACUUUCCUUCUUCCUCCAGGAUAGCCGAGCGGAGAAGCGAGUUGGGGAGCACACGCACUAAGGGAGCUAUAGCACGGGACGCACUGGGAGCAGGAGACGAGCACCAUUGGCAAAUUGCACCUUUGGGUUAAUUGUUGGACUUACCUGUCUGUUCACUGUAAAUAAAGUGCACUGUGGCAUCGAAGAGUCCCGCGUUUUGGGUCCUACUUUCCUCGUCCCCACGGUCUGCGUGGCAGACCGUGACAGAAUAAUCCCACCAACCACCAUGGACCCAGCAGACUCAAGAGUUGCCACGGAGGAGGGAUCGCUCACACAGCUGUGGGGUUACUGCCAGAGCGUAACCCAGGCUGUGGAUCCACACAUGAGACACAUACAGGUAGUGUUUUUUGAUAAUUAUCUUUCCUCCACUACCUUCUCUACGAGCUUUCUGGAUAUUGACAAACUCAUUCAAAUUGUAACUGAGCUGCGGGCAAGCUCCAGCUUCGAACUGUUUGGUUUGGGCUGUCCGGGCAAGGAGGAUGCGGCUGCCUCCCUGGCAGCCCUUGCUGCUUGGUGUUUUCUUCAUAGGCGGAGAGUUUUUCCACCGCCGCUUGCUGCUCACCUAUUGGACCCUCCACUGCAGGGAAGACGGCGCCCUACUCCAUCUCCUCUCAUUCCUUCGAUGUCCUCUGUGUCGGCAGACAAAGGAUCGGCAGCGCUGGUAAGCACAGUGAGUAAACCGGACUCUGUCACCUUACUUAAUCCAGUCUCUCACGAGCAGGAGGGGACAGAUUCCUUUGACGCGGCCCCGCCAUCACGAAAGAGACGGCGUCGGCGUCGUCUUCAUCAAACCGAAGCUCACCUCACUCCGGUUGUUUCGGAAGAACCAGCUGACUCAGGGCUAGCCGCGGGACUAGCCGCACAAGGAGCCGCAGUGAGUGAAACGGACUCUGUUGUUGGUAAAGAUGUUUUUGUUAUGAAAACAGAGAGGGCUUCGUUUAAACCAAGGGACAGUGCACAAUCAGUUAAUAAUAAAACCGGGAUCGCAAUGGGGAAUAAGCUUAGAAGGUCUGCAUUGCCAGAAAGUGGAGGUGGGCCAGAAGCUAUUCCUGGGUCAUUUAGUAAUGUAAGGAGUAGUGCUGAUUGUUUUUCUGGUGCGGGAUACGGAGCCUUCGUUUGUGAGCCAGUUGGCUCUAAAACAGUGAACACUGAAGGCGCUGGGGUGGCAGCCAAAUGGACUGAAGCCGUUAAUUCUGAGUUACUGCACUGUGCUAAUAGGCAUCCUGACACUGUUUUUGUGGCUGCUGACUUGUUAAAGGACCCAGUGCUGGAAAAUAAUGCUGCCACUACAGGCAAUCGGGAGGCUGGGGUUCCCCCCAGGGCUUCCCCAGAGGCCGAACUGGAAGCCUCAGUCGCCUCUGGCCCCCUGGACGUUGCAGAGGCAGCGGUAACAUUGUCUUCCUCUCAGCCCUUCAUGUUAGCCAUAUCACCCUCUACUCAGUCUGCCGCCCAGCUAGUCACUCAGUUGUCAUCUGUUUCAGCAUCCACAUCACCCGCUCGACCAUCAUCUUCGCCACCUGCAGCUACCGCAUCACCAUCUUCACCUCCGGAUCAACCAUCUAUAGCCGCUCCGCAGCCAGAGGAGGAGCUCAGCGAGCGGGGGGAGCCCGCGUCGCAGCCGGAGGAGGAGCUCAGCGAGCGGGGGGAGCCCGCGUCGCAGCCGGAGGAGGAGCUCAGCGAGCGGGGGGAGCCCGCGUCGCAGCCGGAGGAGGAGCUCAGCGAGCGGGGGGAGCCCGCGUCGCCAGCUGUGGAGCGCGUCGCAGCCGGAGGAGGAGCUCAGCGAGCGGGGGGAGCCCGCGUCGCCAGCUGUGGAGCGCGUCGCAGCCGGAGGAGGAGCUCAGCGAGCGGGGGGAGCCCGCCUCGCCGACUGUGGAGCUCAGCGAGCCGGGGGAGCUCAGCGAGCCGGGGGAGCUCAGCGAGCGGGGGGAGCCCGCGUCGCAGCCGGAGGAGGAGCUCAGCGAGCAGGAGGAGCCCGCCUCGCCGACUGUGGAGCUCAGCGAGCGGGAGGAGCCCGCCUCGCCGACUGUGGAGCUCAGCGAGCCGGCGGAGCUCAGCGAGCGGAGGGAGCCCGCACCACCUGAGGAGGAGCUCUGUGAGCCGGAGCCGGAAUUCGGCGAGCGGGAGGAGCGGCUACCGUCAAGAGAGGGGCCCGGCGGGCCGGAGAAGCGCGCACCGCCUGAGCUGGAGCUGCAGGGGCCGGAGCUGCAGCAGAGGCGAGCAGGAGCUCGGCGAGCAAGAGGAGUGCCCGCCAUCGAGAGAGGGGCUCGGCAGGCCGGAGGAGCGCGCACAGCCAUCGGAGGUCGGCGGGCGGGAGGAAUCCGAUCAGUCUACGCGGGGGGUCAGUGUGCAGGGUCCACGUCCAGCGCGCCCUCCACGCCGUCCACGUCCAGCGCGCCCUCCACGCCGUCCACGUCCAGCGCGCCGGGCGUCAUGGGCUGUUCUACUCUGUCGCCCGCCAGAGCUGCAACACUGCUGCUACCGGAUCCGUGGCCGCCCGCCGGAGCUGCAGCGCCGCAACCACUGGACGCCUGGCAGGCCACCAGAGAUGCAGCACCGCCGCCACUGGAUCAGUGGCAGGCCCCCAGAACUGUUUCGUCGCUGCUGCUGGACCCAUGGCCGUCCGCCGGAGAUCCAGCGUUUCCACCGAUGGACUGAAGGUAGGCCUCCUGAACGGUCGUCGGCCUCUGCCUAUCCAUAGCAGGUUUCACCUGUUUUGCUGUCCACCGGGUCAGCCGCCAGAACUAUGUUUGCUGCCAUUAGGGCGGGGGGUUGGCCUGAUGAACUGAGUUUUUUCGUUUUUGUUGUUUAGUGGUGUGGUUCGGAGGGGUUUUGGGGCCCUCCGUCCUGGCCCCCCGCCGCCCGCCCUGGGGUGGUUUUCCUGUUUUUUGCUUUUUGUUUCGGGUCGUCGGGAGCCGACCCUUAGGGGGGGUACUGUCACGGACCCGGCUCUGGAGGACUCGGGGGUCCGUGAGCAGUUAUGGACUGUUGUUGUUAUUAUUAUUAUUAAGGGGCUGUGUCGUCUACUGUUCGGCCCACAGUUGAAUGUGUAGUGUGUGUUUGCGUGUGGGUUUGCUUCUCCCUCUCUCUCCCCGGUCCUCGGGCUGUUUACAGAAGUGCACGCUGUGGGAGAGGCGUGUCCUGGCGACUGUCGUCAUUGGGAGUCCCUCUUCACUGUUACCGGCCCACCUGCAGCUGAUUACCUGACCAGCUGUUGGUAAUCAUCCAUCCCGGCUGGAGAGAGGUAUUUAACCUGGACUCGCGGCGACAGUCGACGUGGGAUUAUUACUCCGAACUGGAUAGCCGAGCGGAGAAGCGAGUUGGGGAGCACACGCACUAAGGGAGCUAUAGCACGGGACGCACUGGGAGCAGGAGACGAGCACCAUUGGCAAAUUGCACCUUUGGGUUAAUUGUUGGACUUACCUGUCUGUUCACUGUAAAUAAAGUGCACUGUGGCAUCGAAGAGUCCCGCGUUUUGGGUCCUACUUUCCUCGUCCCCACGGUCUGCGUGGCAGAGUGACACUGUCGGCCUAUUAAUUUUUUAUUUUGC
ensembl:lncRNA